rnacentral:lncRNA from 1 species
CGGCAACUGACAUGAGCUGAGCAGAGCAAAUAUGGUUGUCAGAGGUUCUGAUUUCUCAACAGUUCUGAUUUCUCUUCACUGGAAGAUUUGAAAGGCUAUCUAGUGAAUCAAUAUCUGAAAAUUCGGCUGUCCAAAAACAUCUGUCACCAUGGAUUGCCCAUACCCUGCAUCAAACUCCAAGCUGUGUUCAGAUGAAGGACAGUUGGCAUCAGUGAACUUUCUUUUUAUCCCUGCUUGCAACCCACUCCUGGUAGUCUGAGCUUGUCUAGGUUCUAAAUACUUUCUUACCUAUAAAUCACUGGACUAGUGUACUAUUCAUCAGGCUCUGGCUGUGCACACAAAUAUACACAUAUACACACACUUCACAGUUCCUGGACAACAUUCUCAAUCCAAUCAAAUGAUUCCUACUCUGAAAAAAAUAAAUCAUUUCUUUGAAAACA